rnacentral:rRNA from 1 species
AAGCGACCAAGCGUACACGGUGGAUGCCCUGGCAGUCAGAGGCGAUGAAGGACGUGCUAAUCUGCGAAAAGCGCCGGUAAGGUGAUAUGAACCGUUAUAACCGGCGAUGUCCGAAUGGGGAAACCCAGUGUGACUCGUCACACUAUCAUUAACUGAAUCCAUAGGUUAAUGAGGCGAACCGGGGGAACUGAAACAUCUAAGUACCCCGAGGAAAAGAAAUCAACCGAGAUUCCCCCAGUAGCGGCGAGCGAACGGGGAGGAGCCCAGAGCCUGAAUCAGCAUGUGUGUUAGUGGAAGCGUCUGGAAAGGCGCGCGAUACAGGGUGAGAGCCCCGUACACAAAAGCGCAUAUGCUGUGAGCUCGAUGAGUAGGGCGGGACACGUGGUAUCCUGUCUGAAUAUGGGGGGACCAUCCUCCAAGGCUAAAUACUCCUGACUGACCGAUAGUGAACCAGUACCGUGAGGGAAAGGCGAAAAGAACCCCGGCGAGGGGAGUGAAACAGAACCUGAAACCGUGUACGUACAAGCAGUGGGAGCCUCUCUUUAUGGGGGGUGACUGCGUACCUUUUGUAUAAUGGGUCAGCGACUUAUAUUCUGUAGCAAGGUUAACCGCAUAGGGGAGCCGAAGGGAAACCGAGUCUUAAUUGGGCGUUAAGUUGCAGGGUAUAGACCCGAAACCCGGUGAUCUAGCCAUGGGCAGGUUGAAGGUUGGGUAACACUAACUGGAGGACCGAACCGACUAAUGUUGAAAAAUUAGCGGAUGACCUGUGGCUGGGGGUGAAAGGCCAAUCAAACCGGGAGAUAGCUGGUUCUCCCCGAAAGCUAUUUAGGUAGCGCCUCGUGAACUCAUCUCCGGGGGUAGAGCACUGUUUCGGCUAGGGGGCCAUCCCGGCUUACCAACCCGAUGCAAACUGCGAAUACCGGAGAAUGUUAUCACGGGAGACACACGGCGGGUGCUAACGUCCGUCGUGAAGAGGGAAACAACCCAGACCGCCAGCUAAGGUCCCAAAGUCAUGGUUAAGUGGGAAACGAUGUGGGAAGGCCCAGACAGCCAGGAUGUUGGCUUAGAAGCAGCCAUCAUUUAAAGAAAGCGUAAUAGCUCACUGGUCGAGUCGGCCUGCGCGGAAGAUGUAACGGGGCUAAACCAUGCACCGAAGCUGCGGCAGCGACACUUUAGUGUUGUUGGGUAGGGGAGCGUUCUGUAAGCCGUUGAAGGUGUCCUGUGAGGGGUGCUGGAGGUAUCAGAAGUGCGAAUGCUGACAUAAGUAACGAUAAAGCGGGUGAAAAGCCCGCUCGCCGGAAGACCAAGGGUUCCUGUCCAACGUUAAUCGGGGCAGGGUGAGUCGACCCCUAAGGCGAGGCCGAAAGGCGUAGUCGAUGGGAAACGGGUUAAUAUUCCCGUACUUGGUGUUACUGCGAAGGGGGGACGGAGAAGGCUAUGUUGGCCGGGCGACGGUAGUCCCGGUUUAAGCGUGUAGGUGUGUGUUCCAGGCAAAUCCGGUUCACUUUAACACUGAGGCGUGAUGACGAGGCACCACGGUGCUGAAGCAACAAAUGCCCUGCUUCCAGGAAAAGCCUCUAAGCAUCAGGUAACAUCAAAUCGUACCCCAAACCGACACAGGUGGUCAGGUAGAGAAUACCAAGGCGCUUGAGAGAACUCGGGUGAAGGAACUAGGCAAAAUGGUGCCGUAACUUCGGGAGAAGGCACGCUGACACGUAGGUGAAGUGAUUUACUCAUGGAGCUGAAGUCAGUCGAAGAUACCAGCUGGCUGCAACUGUUUAUUAAAAACACAGCACUGUGCAAACACGAAAGUGGACGUAUACGGUGUGACGCCUGCCCGGUGCCGGAAGGUUAAUUGAUGGGGUCAGCGCAAGCGAAGCUCCUGAUCGAAGCCCCGGUAAACGGCGGCCGUAACUAUAACGGUCCUAAGGUAGCGAAAUUCCUUGUCGGGUAAGUUCCGACCUGCACGAAUGGCGUAAUGAUGGCCAGGCUGUCUCCACCCGAGACUCAGUGAAAUUGAACUCGCUGUGAAGAUGCAGUGUACCCGCGGCAAGACGGAAAGACCCCGUGAACCUUUACUAUAGCUUGACACUGAACAUUGAGCCUUGAUGUGUAGGAUAGGUGGGAGGCUUUGAAGCGUGGACGCCAGUCUGCGUGGAGCCGACCUUGAAAUACCACCCUUUAAUGUUUGAUGUUCUAACGUGGACCCGUAAUCCGGGUUGCGGACAGUGUCUGGUGGGUAGUUUGACUGGGGCGGUCUCCUCCUAAAGAGUAACGGAGGAGCACGAAGGUUGGCUAAUCCUGGUCGGACAUCAGGAGGUUAGUGCAAUGGCAUAAGCCAGCUUGACUGCGAGCGUGACGGCGCGAGCAGGUGCGAAAGCAGGUCAUAGUGAUCCGGUGGUUCUGAAUGGAAGGGCCAUCGCUCAACGGAUAAAAGGUACUCCGGGGAUAACAGGCUGAUACCGCCCAAGAGUUCAUAUCGACGGCGGUGUUUGGCACCUCGAUGUCGGCUCAUCACAUCCUGGGGCUGAAGUAGGUCCCAAGGGUAUGGCUGUUCGCCAUUUAAAGUGGUACGCGAGCUGGGUUUAGAACGUCGUGAGACAGUUCGGUCCCUAUCUGCCGUGGGCGCUGGAGAAUUGAGGGGGGCUGCUCCUAGUACGAGAGGACCGGAGUGGACGCAUCACUGGUGUUCGGGUUGUCAUGCCAAUGGCACUGCCCGGUAGCUAAAUGCGGAAAAGAUAAGUGCUGAAAGCAUCUAAGCACGAAACUUGCCCCGAGAUGAGUUCUCCCUGAGACUUUGAGUCUCCUGAAGGAACGUUAAAGACGAUGACGUUGAUAGGCCGGGUGUGUAAGCGCAGCGAUGCGUUGAGCUAACCGGUACUAAUGAACCGUGAGG